rnacentral:rRNA from 1 species
UACGGAGGGUGCAAACGUUGCUCGGAAUCAUUGGGCGUAAAGCGCACGUAGGCGGACCGCUAAGUCGGAUGUGAAAGCCCUCGGCUUAACCGAGGAAGUGCAUUCGAAACUGACGGUCUUGAGUAUGGAAGAGGGUCGCGGAAUUCCCGGUGUAGAGGUGAAAUUCGUAGAUAUCGGGAGGAACACCAGUGGCGAAGGCGGCGACCUGGGCCAAUACUGACGCUGAGGUGCGAAAGCGUGGGGAGCGAACAGG